AUUGAACGCUGGCGGCAUGCUUUACACAUGCAAGUCGAACGGCAGCACGAGUGCUUGCACUUGGUGGCGAGUGGCGAACGGGUGAGUAAUACAUCGGAACGUGUCCUGAAGUGGGGGAUAACGCAUCGAAAGAUGUGCUAAUACCGCAUAAUCUCUCAGGAGGAAAGCAGGGGAUCGAAAGACCUUGCGCUUUUGGAGCGGCCGAUGUCUGAUUAGCUAGUUGGUGGGGUAAUGGCCUACCAAGGCAACGAUCAGUAGUUGGUCUGAGAGGAUGGCCAACCACACUGGGACUGAGACACGGCCCAGACUCCUACGGGAGGCAGCAGUGGGGAAUUUUGGACAAUGGGGGAAACCCUGAUCCAGCAAUGCCGCGUGAGUGAAGAA
rnacentral:rRNA from 1 species